CCCUCUAGUUCCAUUCAUGUUUUCUCAAAUGGCAGGAUCUGCUUCUUUCUAUGGAUGCAUAAUAUUCCAUGAUAUGUACAGAUAUCACAUCUUCCUUAUUCAUCUACUGAUGGACACUUAAGUUGCUUCCAUAUCUUGGUUAUUAUAAAUAAUGCUUCAAUAAACACAGGCAUGCAUAUAUCUUUUAUUUGUUUCUUUUUUUUUUUUUUUUUGGUUUGUUUGUUUUCUUUGGGUAAAUACCCAAAGGAAGUUACUGGAUCAUAUGGUAAUUUUACUUUUAAAUUUUGGAGAAGCACCAUAGUAUUUUCCAUAGUACCUAUACCGAUUUAUAUUCCCACUAAUGAUGUAAAGGGUUCCUUUUUCUGGACAUCCUCACUAACACUUGUUAUUUCUUUUUUAUUUUAGCCAUUCUGACAGGUAUAAGGUGAUAUUUCAUUGUGGUUUCAAUUUGUAUUUACCCGAUGAUUAGUGAUGUUGAGCAUCUUCUCACGUGUCUGUUGGCCAUCUGUAUCUUUUUUAGAAAAAAUGUCUAUUCAGGACCUUCUUAUUUUUUAAUCAGGUUGUUUUUUGGUGUUGAGUAGUAUGAGUUCCUUACAUACUUUGGAUAUUAACCCAUUAUUGAAUACAUCAUUUACAAAUAUCUUCUAUUCAGUAGGUUGUCUUUUUAUUUUGUUGAUGCUUUCCUUUGCCAUGCAAAAGCUUUUUUUUUUUUUAUGUAGUCCAAUAAUUCCUGUUUGCUUUUGUUUCCUUUGCCUUAGGAGACAAAUCUACAAAAAUGUUACUACAGCUGAUGUCAGAGUAAUUGUGUUUCUUCUUUUUAUGGUUUCAGGUCUCACAUUUAGAUCUUGAACCCAUUUUGAAUUUAUUUUUGUGUAUGGUUUUAAGAUAGCCCAGUUUCAUUCUUUUACAUGUAGUUGUCCAGUUUUCCCAGUGCCAUUUAUGAAGAGACCGUCUUUUCCCAUUAUGUAUUCUUGCCUCCUUUGUCAUAGAGUAGUUGACCAUAUAUUUGUGGGUUUAUUUCUGGGCUGAGGAAGUGUUGGUUUUUUUCCUUGUUGUUUGUUUUUUUAAAUGUCCCAGAUUGAGCCAAGAGACAAAGAGGCUUUCCAGCAAUAAUGAUGAAGACAAUGAGGAAAAGCAGAAUAAAUAAAAGAAUAAGUAGCAAGAGGAAAGGUCAGAUAAAGAAAUGGGGUGAGAGGCUGGUUUGUAUAGGGACUAUAAUCCACUGUGAGAAUUUUGGCUUGUAUAUACAGAGUAAUGGGUGCCCUCUGAGGAGAAGAUGACGGGAUCUGACAUACUGUUGGAGCCUCCUCUGACUGCUGUUUUGAUUUUAAUAGAAUUAAUUAUUCUUCUGAUUUUUUUAAAGAAUUGUAUAUUUUUUUAAAGACCCUAUUUACUCAUGAGAGACACAGAUAGAGAGACAGAGACAUAGGCAGAGGGAGAAGGAGGCUCUCUGCAAGGAGCUCAAUGUGGGAUCCAAUCCUGGGACCAUGGGAUCAGGAGCUGAGCCAAAGGCAGACCCUCAGCCACUGAGCCACCCAGGCACAUCUCUAUUCCUCUUAUUUUAGUGAGGUUCAAAUUCUUGGUACAUGUUGUAUGGGAAAUUGCAUUAAUAUAAUCAUAGUCUUAAUACAGUGGUAGUCUGCAAAUAAAUUACCAGGCUAGCUAUUUUAGCUAUAGAACAAUAAAGGUCUCAGACCAUAUUAUAAUGUUCACAACAUGCAGUUUAUUAAAUCAAUUUAAAACAUGCAGUGAUAAGAAGGGAAAAAUAAAUGAAACAGAUUAUCAUAGGUAGGAUAAGAUGCAAACAUGGAAGAAGGACCACAGUACCUGAAAUAGAAGGUACCCAAUGUUCUUCGUCCCUGUCCUUAGGAAGCCAUUAGUGUUCCAUGCCAAAUGUGUGGUUUUGAGGACCAGAAUUGAGGAUGGAUAAAGGAUGCUCAGCAAACAGAAGAUGCCUGAAGCAACAUACACUUCUAUAUUGAGGCAACAUAGAAGCAAGUGUGCCUGGCCAAUAGUGCUAGCUUACCAAUAGCCUUAUAAGGAGUGAUAGAUUUUAUUUUCAUUUCUUAGUAGAGUAUGCAUGGGACCAUAAGGGCUGUCACCAUGAGAUAGCCAAUUUAUCACCUCAUGAAUAUUGAGUGCCUCAUCUAUAGUAAGUGUAUCAUGAAUAUUUGGUGUUUCUGGCUCUUCCAUCCCUUUUUAUCUUUAUUCAGCAAAGGUAUUAUCUACUUAAUUUAUCUUUGCUUAACAUGUCUCACAGAUUACCAAUUUAUUUUAAUCCAUGCCUAAUAUGUUCUUAUGGGUUACUAAUAUACAUUAUCUUUGCUUAACCUUUUUGGUUGGUUACUAACUUAUUUGCACUGAAAUGUUUUAAGAUUCUGUCCAUAUUAUUUGAGCUACCAACUACUUUUAUUGGGUUUUCUUAUUUAGUAUUAUAUUAAACCACUGUUUUUUUUUUUUAAUUUUUAUUUAUUUAUGAUAGUCACAGAGAGAGAGAGAGAGAGAGAGAGGCAGAGACACAGGCAGAGAGAGAAGCAGGCUCCAUGCACUGGGAGCCUGACGUGGGAUUCGAUCCCUGGUCUCCAGGAUCGCGCCCUGGGCCAAAGGCAGGUGCCAAACCGCUGCGCCACCCAGGGAUCCCAAACCACUGUUUUUUAAUUUUAUAAACAAGACCUAUUUAUCUGUCAUCAGUAACCUUAAAUUUUGUGAAAAAAAAAUUCUUUAUAUUCAUUUUUAGAUUCUUCACAAUUUCUUCUCUUUAAAUUCUAUGAGAUCUGUUGAAACUAGAUACCAAUCACAAGUAUGUCAAACUUAGGGCCAAUGGUCUAUUAAAAGUCAUAAUUAGUAAGUUUAAUCAGUCUUAGGAAAAUGAUUUUUGUUUUGAGAGUCUCGAGUUAAGCAGUCUUUUUCUUCAAAGCUGUUGGCUUCUGGACUGAGAGCAUGCUGAGAAUCUUAAGCCAGCCUCUUGAUAGAUCUGCAUGCUGGCUGUUUGCAGAAAUGGCCUACAGAUUUUUAUUAUAGCUCUUUUGCUGUUUCUGCUGCAAAACUGAAUUCUGAUAUGUACUCUAAAGCAAGAGCUUUUAUUUAUGGGUAGGAUAAAAGCAAAAACUAAUUUGUUGGUGAAAAUAUAAAUAGGUCUGGUCAGUUAAUUAUAUCAACCCACAUUAUUAUAAUGGAGGAGAGUAAAAGCCUCUAUUUGUGAAUAUUCAGUCAAUGAUUUCCUGAGGUCAGGAGCAAUGUGAUAAGGAGACUACUGACUAACCUCCAGGGCAUUUUGAUUUGUACCAUAAGAAAUGUUAUAAUCACCGAGAAUGACAAGAGCAUUUAUAUUUAGGAAAAAAUCAAUUUGUUUACAGUGCAUGUUACUCUUUAAACACAAACCUAAGUGUGUCUAUCUAACCUGACAAGAACUCAGUUGCUAAGACAUUUAUGGUGAUAACAUUUACUUCUAAAUAAUUAACCUAAGGAGAAUCAAUGUUUUUUUGGCUUUUCAGGGAUUUUUUUUUUUUAAUUGAUGAGAACAGAAAAACAGUUAUAGCACUAAUUAAAACCUAGAAUAUUCAAUUCCUCCUUUAGUAAAGUAAGUGAGGCAUCUUUUUUUAUAGCCCAGUGACUGCAUAGGAAAUCCAAAGCUAAAGUUAAAAUUUUAAAUUAAAUUUAAAGUUAAAAGUUAAAAAUUAAAAUUAAAAAAGUUAAAAUUUUUAUUAUUGAGGGCUUAAGACCUAAA
rnacentral:lncRNA from 1 species